CACUAUCGUUAACUGAAUACAUAGGUUAACGAGGCGAACCGGGGGAACUGAAACAUCUAAGUACCCCGAGGAAAAGAAAUCAACCGAGAUUCCCCCAGUAGCGGCGAGCGAACGGGGAGCAGCCCAGAGUCUGAAUCAGCUUGUGUGUUAGUGGAACGGUCUGGAAAGUCCGACGGUACAGGGUGAUAGUCCCGUACACCAAAAUGCACAGGCUGUGAACUCGAAGAGUAGGGCGGGACACGUGGUAUCCUGUCUGAAUAUGGGGGGACCAUCCUCCAAGGCUAAAUACUCCUGACUGACCGAUAGUGAACCAGUACCGUGAGGGAAAGGCGAAAAGAACCCCGGCGAGGGGAGUGAAAAAGAACCUGAAACCGUGUACGUACAAGCAGUGGGAGCACCUUCGGGUGUGACUGCGUACCUUUUGUAUAAUGGGUCAGCGACUUAUAUUCUGUAGCAAGGUUAACCGUAUAGGGGAGCCGCAGGGAAACCGAGUCUUAACUGGGCGUUAAGUUGCAGGGUAUAGACCCGAAACCCGGUGAUCUAGCCAUGGGCAGGUUGAAGGUUGGGUAACACUAACUGGAGGACCGAACCGACUAAUGUUGAAAAAUUAGCGGAUGACUUGUGGCUGGGGGUGAAAGGCCAAUCAAACCGGGAGAUAGCUGGUUCUCCCCGAAAGCUAUUUAGGUAGCGCCUCGUGAACUCAUCUUCGGGGGUAGAGCACUGUUUCGGCUAGGGGGUCAUCCCGACUUACCAACCCGAUGCAAACUACGAAUACCGAAGAAUGUUAUCACGGGAGACACACGGCGGGUGCUAACGUCCGUCGUGAAGAGGGAAACAACCCAGACCGCCAGCUAAGGUCCCAAAGUCAUGGUUAAGUGGGAAACGAUGUGGGAAGGCACAGACAGCCAGGAUGUUGGCUUAGAAGCAGCCAUCAUUUAAAGAAAGCGUAAUAGCUCACUGGUCGAGUCGGCCUGCGCGGAAGAUGUAACGGGGCUAAACCAUGCACCGAAGCUGCGGCAGCGACACUAUGUGUUGUUGGGUAGGGGAGCGUUCUGUAAGCCUGCGAAGGUGUGCUGUGAGGCAUGCUGGAGGUAUCAGAAGUGCGAAUGCUGACAUAAGUAACGAUAAAGCGGGUGAAAAGCCCGCUCGCCGGAAGACCAAGGGUUCCUGUCCAACGUUAAUCGGGGCAGGGUGAGUCGACCCCUAAGGCGAGGCCGAAAGGCGUAGUCGAUGGGAAACAGGUUAAUAUUCCUGUACUUGGUGUUACUGCGAAGGGGGGACGGAGAAGGCUAUGUUAGCCGGGCGACGGUUGUCCCGGUUUAAGCAUGUAGGCUGGUU
rnacentral:rRNA from 1 species